UUACUACUCUGGUCACUCUUUCAAAGGCUUCAGGGAAAUGAGGAAAUUGAGGCUCAACAAAGGUAAAUCAUUGGCUGAAGAAUAGGAAGAUGAAAAGAAAAGAAUUGUUUUUCUGAUGCCAUCAUGCUUCCAGAACAAAUUCCGUGUCUGACUCCAAGAAGUAACUCCAUCAGGGGUGAUGUCAUCUACACUGCUUGACCUGCUCUACUCAGAGUGGCUAAAUGCAGACCUUUAAUUGCCCUGUUACCUAUGGACUUUGAUUCUAAAGAAUCCAGACUGUGACUAACCAUAUACAAUGUCAAAAAUAGAUGUAACAGCUGUCAGUAGUCGGUGAAACCUUUGGACCUGGACCCUUUCCGCAGUGCCACUGUCGUUGAACCCAAGGGAAGUAUGAGUCAUCGUCAAUGAAAUCACUCUGGGAAUAGAGCAGUGUUGCCCUGUCAGACCCCAGAGUUGGUGUUCCUGCAGAUGACGUGCUGGACAACCAGAUGAGCCUACGAAGAUUUACAAAUAUAUAUGUGUUUGGAAUUUUCCUCUCUGAAGAAGAGGCUACUUCACAUAAAGCUAAUCCAAGAAGGUGACAAGACUCGAUACUUAAUUCAAAAAUGGAAUAGGAUGACUUACCAAGAAGUAUCACCAAACAAAAUGUGGGAAUUUACAAUAAAGUCAGAGAGCUCAAAACACAGAGACAGAGAGGACCUUCAAGAUGGCGGAGGAGUAAG